GGUUUUAAGCAUCCUGGUUGCUACGUCCAUGACUGAUUACACAUGAUUAAGAGCGUGGUCAUGCUGAAGGCGUUCCCAAAGCGUUUCGAUGCAGCUCGAGUUCCUGAAGGUGAACUAUGUCUAGCACUUUUGCUAAAUAGAUCUUGUAGAAUUUAUAACCCUUGCAGAAUUUAUAAUAUAGUACUAGUCUUAUGUAUAUAAGAAUGACACACAAAAUACACAGUACAUUUAAACUGUAAUGAUACAAAAAAGGCUCUUAGACAUACUUUGUUGAUCAAAUUUUUUCAUCUUCUUUCUUACAGUUAUAAACAUGACUACUUCAACUACAGCAUCAACAACAACAACAACGGCAACGACAGUGAUGACAACAACAACAACAACAACAACAACAACACAGACGACAACAACAAGACCCUUGACAUCUACAACUAAAGUGCCUACAGCUACAACUACAAAAUUUAUACCCAUGUAUCUAACAGCUCUGGUGUUUCGCUCUUUUGACAUAUUUAUAGUUGAACUCAGUGAUGUAAACUCUCAGGCUUUCAAGUCAAGGGCUGAGCUUGUUAGAUCUCAGCUUGAACCAAUCUUCAGAGCAAAAUAUACUUCCUUUAUUAGAGUGAUUGUCUUAAGUUUCAGUCCUGGGUCAAUCAUCACGGAUACACAACUAGUUUUUAACUCAACACAAGCUCUUCCAACCGUUCAAGAGAUUUCAGACUUUCUCUUGACAGCAGUGGAAACAGGAGCUGUUGAUCCACUGAAAAUAAUCCCUACAACAGUUUCAGUCAAUGGUUCAGUUAUAGCUACGACUGUAGCUGCAAUUACAACUACAACUGCAGCUGCAACUACAGCUUCAAGUGGACUGAAGAUUGAAUCCAGCCUGCUCCAAGCAACAUGGCUCAUUAUUAUCGCAAAACUAUUACAGCUUUUCCUAUAGAUCCCUUAACAAUAAAUGCAAGUGGCGAGAAAUGCA
ensembl:lncRNA